UACGUAGGGACCGAGCGUUGUCCGGAUUCAUUGGGCGUAAAGAGCUCGUAGGCGGCUGCUCAAGUCGAAUGUGAAAACUCGAGGCUCAACCUCGAGCCUGCAUUCGAUACUGGGCGGCUAGAGUUCGGUAGGGGAGUCUGGAAUUCCUGGUGUAGCGGUGAAAUGCGCAGAUAUCAGGAGGAACACCGGUGGCGAAGGCGGGACUCUGGGCCGAUACUGACGCUGAGGAGCGAAAGCGUGGGGAGCAAACAGG
rnacentral:rRNA from 1 species